GUAAAGUUUUAUCCUAGCUUGUUCUUUCAUUUUUAGGUUAAUGGUACAUGUAAAUUUUAAUGUUACAACAUAUUUUGUUAAAACUAAAGGUUAACAAAUGGUCUAAAAGUAGAGGUUUCUUUAAGAAAUAAAUUCUCAGUACCUAGUGCUAAUCAAUAAAUAUACGUUAGAAUUGGUAAUCCUAAUUAUAUAUACCUGGUUAAAAUUUGUGCCAGCAGCCGCGGUUAGACUGAGAGGUAAAAUGAAAGAAAUUUGGUUAAAAACAGUUAUAUUUAUUAAUUUUUUUCUUUUAAAGGACUAUAUUAAUAAAGGGUGAAAUCAGUUUUUUAAUAAAUAGUAAAAUAAAAGUCUUAAUUUUAAUUGAAG
rnacentral:rRNA from 1 species